AGAGUUUGAUCCUGGCUCAGGAUGAACGCUGGCGGCGUGUCUAAGGCAUGCAAGUCGAACGAGUUAUUAUAAUCUAUUAUGAUGACUAGUGGCAAACGGGUGCGUAACACAUUGGUAAUCUACCCCAAAGUCAGAAAUAACUCCGCGAAAGCGGAGCUAAUCUCUGAUGUGCUGUAUACCUUCAUGGUAUACAGUAAAGCUCCGGCGCUUUGGGAGGAGCCUAUGGCCUAUCAGCUUGUUGGUGGUGUAAGAGACCACCAAGGCUACGACAGGUAGCGGGUGUGAGAGCACGACCCGCCUCACUGGGACUGAGACACUGCCCAGACUCCUACGGGAGGCUGCAGUCGAGAAUCUUCCCCAAUGCACGAAAGUGUGAGGGAGCGACGCCGCGUGACUGAAGACGCCCUUCGGGGUGUAAAAGUCUUUUCUAUGGGACGAACUAAUGACGGUACCAUAGGAAUAAGGGGUGGCUAACUUCGUGCCAGAAGCCUCGGUAAUACGAAGGCCCCAAGCGUUAUCCGGAUUUAUUGGGCGUAAAGCGUACGUAGGCCGUUUAGCAAGUCAGUGGUAAAAUCCCAAGGCUCAACCUUGGACCUGCCCCUGAAACUGCUAAACUAGAGGCUGGGAGAGGCGAGCGGAAUUGCUGGUGUAGGGGUAAAAUCCGUUAAUAUCAGCAGGAACACCAAAUGCGAAGGCAGCUCGCUAGAACAGUCCUGACGCUAAGGUACGAAAGCGUGGGGAGCGAAGCGGAUUAGAUACCCGCGUAGUCCACGCUGUAAACGAUGGAUACUAGGCAUUGGAAGUAUCGACCCUUUCAGUGCCGGUGAACAAAGCUAACGCAUUAAGUAUCCCGCCUGGGGAGUACGGCCGCAAGGCUAAAACUCAAGGGAAUUGACGGGGACCCGCACAAGCGGUGGAGCACGUGGUUUAAUUCGACAAUAAGCGAGGAACCUUACCAAGGCUUGACAUCUAGCUGCAAUCCCGAUGAAAAUCGGGACGCCUUCGAGGGUGCUAGACAGGUGUUGCAUGGUUGCCGUCAGCUCGUGCCGUGAGGUGUACAGUUAAGUCUGGAAACGAGCGCAACCCCUGCCCUAAUUUGCAUCUUUAUUAGGGGACCGCCGUGUAUAACACGGAGGAAGGUGGGGACGACGUCAAAUCAGCAUGGCCCUUACGCCUUGGGCGACACACAUGCUACAAUGGCCAGUACAAAGGGUUGCCAAACCGCAAGGUGGAGCUAAUCCCAACAAAACUGGUCUCAGUUCGGAUUGAGGUCUGCAACUCGACCUCAUGAAGCUGGAAUCGCUAGUAACCGUAAAUCAGCUACGUUACGGUGAAUACGUUCUCGGGUCUUGUACACACCGCCCGUCAUGUCAAGAGAGUCGAUAAUACCCGAAUACUGGUGUAGUCCGGUAGAAGGUAAGAUCGAUGAUAGGGGCAAAGUCGUAACAAGGCA
rnacentral:rRNA from 1 species